UAUAUCAACUUUUAUUUAUUAUAAAAUUUAUUUCAAAUAUUUCAUAUACAUUAUCAAUAGACAAAAUUUAUUACAAAAAUGUAAACUUAAACCUUUUAAUAUACUCUAAAAAAUAUAAUUAAAAAACUAUACUUAAAUCUUUUCAUAUAAUUUAUUAGUAAAUAUAAUUAAUCAAAACAUAUAUCUUUUUAACCUUUCCUGUACUCUAUUAAUAAAUU
rnacentral:lncRNA from 1 species